rfam:Bombyx mori DNA, contig: Bm_scaf1_contig748, strain: p50T/Dazao, build 2, whole genome shotgun sequence.
UACUACGAAAUUUGUAUGGAAUAGGAACAGCUUCCCUUCGUUUGCCGCUAGGGGCGUUGUUCCAACUCCAUACAAAUAUGAGUUA